UACGGGGGGUGCGAGCGUUGUCCGGAAUCACUGGGCGUAAAGGGCGCGUAGGUGGUCUGUUAAGGGUGUGGUGAAAGCCCGGGGCUCAACCCCGGGUCGGCCGUGCCGACUGUUAGACUAGAGUACUGUAGGGGCAGGCGGAAUUCCGGGUGUAGCGGUGGAAUACGUAGAGAUCCGGAGGAAGACCGGUGGCGAAGGCAGCCUGCUGGGCAGAUACUGACACUGAGGCGCGACAGCGUGGGGAGCAAACAGG
rnacentral:rRNA from 1 species